GACGAACGCUGGCGGCGUGCCUAAUACAUGCAAGUAGAACGCUGAAGGAGGAGCUUGCUCUUCUGGAUGAGUUGCGAACGGGUGAGUAACGCGUAGGUAACCUGCCUGGUAGCGGGGGAUAACUAUUGGAAACGAUAGCUAAUACCGCAUAACAGUAGAUGUUGCAUGACAUUUACUUAAAAGGUGCAAUUGCAUCACUACCAGAUGGACCUGCGUUGUAUUAGCUAGUUGGUGGGGUAACGGCUCACCAAGGCGACGAUACAUAGCCGACCUGAGAGGGGGAUCGGCCACACUGGGACUGAGACACAGCCCAGACUCCUAAGGGAGGCAGCAGUAGGGAAUCUUCGGCAAUGGACGGAAGUCUGACCGAGCAACGCCGCGUGAGUGAAGAAGGUUUUCGGAUCGUAAAGCUCGGUUGUAAGAGAAGAACGAGUGUGAGAGUGGAAAGUUCACACUGUGACGGUAUCUUACCAGAAAGGGACGGCUAACUACGUG
rnacentral:rRNA from 1 species